AUCGAGCUGACGAGUCCCAAAUAGGACGAAACGCGCAUCCUGGAU
rnacentral:hammerhead_ribozyme from 1 species